CCGGCCCGUGACCGACGGGAGGCACUGCUGAGGGAGCCCGGGCCGGCCCGUGACGGAAGGGAGGCGCUGCUGAGGGGCUGAGGCGGCCCGGGCCGGCCCGUGACGGAAGGGAGGCGCUGCUGAGGGGCUGAGGCGGCCCGGGCCGGCCCGUGACGGAAGGGAGGCGCUGCUGAGGGGCUGAGGCGGCCCGUGACGGAAGGGAGGCGCUGCUGAGGGGCUGAGGCGGCCCGGGCCGGCCCGUGACGGAAGGGAGGCGCUGCUGAGGGGCUGAGGCGGCCCGUGACGGGCGGGAGGCGCUGCUGAGGGAGCCCGUGACGGGCGGGAGGCGCUGCUGAGGGAGCCGGGGCCGGCCCGUGACGGAAGGGAGGCGCUGCUGAGGGGCUGAGGCGGCCCGGGCCGGCCCGUGACGGGCGGGAGGCGCUGCUGAGGGAGCCGGGGCCGGCCCGUGACGGAAGGGAGGCGCUGCUGAGGGGCUGAGGCGGCCCGGGCCGGCCCGUGACGGGCGGGAGGCGCUGCUGAGGGGCUGAGGGGCCCGGGCCGGCCCGUGACGGAAGGGAAGCGCUGCUGAGGGGCUGAGGCGGCCCGUGACGGGCGGGAAGCGCUGCUGAGGGGCUGAGGCAGCCCGGGCCGGCCCGUGACGGGCGGGAAGCGCUGCUGAGGGGCUGAGGCAGCCCGGGCCGGCCCGUGACGGGCGGGAGGCGCUGCUGAGGGGCUGAGGGAGCCGGGGCCGGCCCGUGACGGGCGGGAGGCGCUGCUGAGGGGCUGAGGGAGCCGGGGCCGGCCCGUGACGGGCGGGAGGCGCUGCUGAGGGGCCCGGGCCGGCCCGUGACGGAAGGGAGGCGCUGCUGAGGGAGCCGGGGCCGGCCCGUGACGGGCGGGAGGCGCUGGCGGGGCGGUCCCCGCCAUCCCGUCGCGGAGCGGGCCGCUGCGGGAGCGGCAUGGCCGGGCUGUGGCUGACGCUGGCGCUGGCGGGGGCCGCGGCGGGCCCGGCCGCGGGGGAGGAGGAGGCGGCCCGGCCCGGGCUGUCGGAGCCGUGCGGGGCCGAGGGCUGGGCGCAGGACUCGUUGCCGCCCGGCGCGGCCUUCGCCGCCGCCGCCUCGUACCGCGGCCCCGGGAACAACGACACGCGGAGCAACAAGGCGCUGCCCAUCCUGCUGUGGUGGAGCGGGAGCCUGUUCCCGCACUUCCCCGGCGACACGGAGCGCAUCGACUGCCCGCGCGGGUCGUGCCUGGCGACGCGGAGCCGGCGGGCGGCCCGGCACCGCCGCACCAAGGCCCUCAUCUUCUACGGCACCGACUUCAGGGCCUACGAGGCGCCGCUGCCCCGCCUGCCGCACCAGACCUGGGCUCUCUUCCACGAGGAGUCCCCCAUGAACAACUACCUGCUGUCGCACCUGCCCGGCAUCCGCCUCUUCAACUACACGGCCACGUUCCGCCGCGAGUCCGACUACCCGCUGACGCUGCAGUGGCUGCCCGGCGCCGGCUACCUGCGCGGCCCGGCCGUGCCCCUGGCCCAGAAGGACGCGUGGCGGCGGAGGGGCUAUGCCCCGGUGCUCUACAUGCAGUCCCACUGCGACGUGCCCUCCGACCGGGACCGCUACGUGCGGGAGCUCAUGAAGUACAUCCAGGUUGACUCCUAUGGGAAGUGCCUGCAUAACCGCGAGCUGCCCAGCCAGCGCCUGAGAGACACUUCCACAGCCACCACAGAGGAUUCGGAGUUCAUGGCUUUCAUCGGCAGGUACAAGUUCCACCUGGCCUUGGAGAACGCCAUCUGUGAGGACUACAUGACGGAGAAGCUGUGGCGCCCGCUGCACGUGGGCGCUGUGCCGGUGUACCGCGGCUCCCCGGCCGUGCGCGACUGGAUGCCCAACAACCUCUCCAUCAUCCUCAUCGAUGACUUUGACAGCCCCCGAGAGCUGGCCAAGUACCUCAACUUCCUGGACAAGAAUGGAGAGGAAUACAUGAAGUACCUAGAGUAUAAGAACCCGGGUGGGAUCACAAACCGGUUCUUGCUGGAGAGCUUGGAGAGGCGCGAGUGGGGUGUGAAUGACAUGACUCUGCCCAAUUACCUGAACGGCUUCGAGUGUUUCAUCUGUGACAGGGAGAACACCCGCGUCAAAGAGGAGCAGGAACACAAAAGGUCUCGUGGGAAAACUCCAGCUCCCAGACCUCACAUAGCUCAGUUCAAACACAUGGGAUGUCCUAUGCCAGCCCCUGGCUUUGGAAGUGUCGAAGACCUCCCUCGGGGGGACAGCUGGAAAGAGAUGUGGCUGCAGGAUUAUUGGCAAAGCCUUGAUCAAGGCGAGGCCCUCACUGCUAUGAUUCAUCACAAUGAGUCGCAUCAGGGAAGAUUUUGGGACUACAUGCAUGAGAUUUUCCUCAGGAGGACGAGGCAGCACUGACCUGCCUUGUAAGAGCUUGAUUUGGGAAGCACACUGAGACUCCAGACUCUGAAUUCUUGCCUUGCUCCGAAUGUUUGCCUUGAGAUAGAAGAAGAGCUCUCACAGAGAUUGUUUUUUCUGGUGCAUGAAGUAAGUUUCCGUUAUGGUUGGAUUUCAGCAGUGGGGAUCUUGCCAACUGCUCUGACUUGAAUUUCACCUCUGUGGUGCCAAGCCAUUCACUCCUUGCAGGUGGCAAUGUGAGAGGCAAAAAAGGGGAUGUACUCUCCUUUUGCCUUUGGUAGAGUUUCCUUGUGACUUCCAUGACUGCAGAGGAUCACCUCUUCACACUGCCCUAAGGUAUUGCAGGGAGUUUCGUUUUAAUCCAAAGCAUUACUCGUUUUUUACAAGUAUUUCUUCUCAUCACUAAAGGGUAACUUUGAGCUGCUAUUUGCAAACAGCUUUUCCAGCCAAGGAAUUCCAGAAGACAAACGUCUGCGGGGAGCAGUUGUGCCUUAUGAAACUGCAGCAAUAAAGUCUCUUCUCCCCACGUUCUCAGAGUGCAGAUGCCCGAAUGCAUAAAAACACACACAGCUGGGAUUGCUCAGGAGUUGUACCAAAGAUACCAAUUCUUGAGGAGGAUAAAGAGGUUAUCUCUGUGAACCCUUCCUUCCUCUGUAAACCCAGCACGCUCCUGCUGACCAGGACGUAUCCUCACGAGUGCUGCUGUGAAACUCUAGUGGAUUAUGUCGAUGCUGUGUCUCAGAGGUGACCUGACAAGCUUGGGGAAGUUUAUGGCCCGUGAGAGAAGAGAAACAAACGUCCGAGAGAAGGACUGCCAUUUCUGGGAAGCAUGUACAGCUCACUGAAGGUGAUUGAUUUGAUUCCCAACACUGGCAAUGCCUAGAACUGAACAAGAUUUGCCUUGUUUCUGUCACCGGAGUGAUCUCCAAACUGAAGCGUCUCUGGGGCCCUCUGUGAUGGAAAGACCCUGAAGUGCUGGAGUGUCUCAGUUGGAGACGGUUCUGGGCAUCUUGGAAUGGAUCAGAGAUACUUUGUGACAUCUCUGAGCAAAUAAGCAGGCAUCAGGUAAAAGUACAACUGUGAAGAACAUCUGACACGUUCUUUGUGGUCUGACAUCAGGAUUUGCAGUGAAACAUCUGUGGGGCUCACUGCUCAGUGUGUUGAGGGAACUGGCUUUCUGCUGUCCCUGUAAAGUCAGCACUUCUGUCCCAUCUGCUCCUGUCUCUGUGCUCUCAGAUGUACGAAACACAGGCUCUGGAGAGGCUUGGCUAUGGAGUGACAAACCUCUUCUGUAGUGACACAUUCUCCCUUAGAAGGAAUAAUUGUGCCUCACCUCAGACACCUCUGCGUGGCAUGUGCCGAUGCCAUCACGUCCUUGUCUGUCUGCUCAGGGAUUUCUUGGGCUGAUGCUCCAAUCCCAGGCCAAAUGCCAACAAAUAAAAGGAAUCCUAAUGCAGGCAGCAGUAACUGACAGGAAGCUAUUGCAAUUCUCCUUGUGUAGCCUGCCUUUCUCAGCCUCCAACCCCCACCUUUGGCUUGGAAUUACUUUAGAGAUGAGCUUUUUAAGAUGCUGCUGCCAUUAGCUAAUGCAAUUUAGGGGGGAAAGGGAGGCUGAUUUACAGGGAGUGGAGUUCAGCUUCUCUCACAACCUGCUAUUCACCUCUUCCCUCAUUCCUGUUCUCAUGCAAAGCCUUGUCAGUAACUGUGGCAGGCAAGUGCAGCAGGGAAAAGCGAGUCUCAGGAGGGGUAAAACCACGAGUAGCUGAACCUCACAUGAACUGCAACACUGAAAAGUGCUUCAUGUCCCUGCCUUGGAUC